rnacentral:lncRNA from 1 species
GCAGACACAUCACAGUUGGGUAAAAAUAAAGCUAUCUUGAGCAAGAGGAAAAACCCAAGAAACUUUAGUCCAGAAGUCCAAGGAAGUCAGGUCUUGUGCCCCCCUCCCAACCCACUCCGCUUUGGCAGGGCUGCGGGGGUCUGCGGGCUCUUGAAGGGGAGGACGUCACCAUUUCCAGGAGUCCUCGGCUCUCUUCACAAGACAGACGAGGGUUUCAUCCCAGUGCCAUCUCCCGCCACACUCCCAGCCGCUUCAAACACCAGGAUAAAAAAGAAAACAGCUCAGGAGACCUUCACCACCUUCCUCUUUUUUCGCCUGCCACUGCCCCGAGUGUCGCCAUCCCGGCACACCGCAGUCCAUUCGCGGGCGUCGCCUACACUGACCGUCAGGUCUUGGACACCCCCCCCUCCCCCCCCGGCUUCUCCGCUCUCCAGAAAUCACUUCAGCUCCGGCCCCGGCCCUCCCUGCCGAACGGCCACAGCUGUUAGCGUCCGCGGGCGUUCGGCCGGGGGGGUCCCCGGCCCGCCAUCCCUCAGGCUUACCUGGGCCUCGACAACGCUCGGGAGGCAGCUCAGGGUGACCAACAGCUGCACUGCGACCGCCGCCCCCUGCCCGGCGCCGGCCCAGAGGAGCCCCCAGCUCAUGUUGACCUCUACCCUCGCCGCGGUCGGCCGGGCCCCCUCAGGGCCAGGAACGGCGGACGGCCCCGGCGACGACCCGAGCGGACGGUUUCCGGCGGCAGAGAAAGUCCAGGGUCAGAGGGCUGCACGCCGGCCGGGAGUCGGGGGACGCUCCCCCCACCGGCGCGCGGCAGCUGUGAGGCAGGAGAGCCGAGCGCCCCCGCUUCAUGCUCCAGGCGGCCCCGCCCCCGGCUUUCCUGGGGGCCGCGGCCACGCCCCCCGAGCGCGGGGCCUUGUGGGAGUCGUGGUCCCGGCCGUCGCCUGGGUGCUGUGCUGGGAAAGUGAAGCCGGCGGCCGAGUAAACCCGGGAACUACAACUAAGGAGGCCGCUCCUCCUCCCCUAGGCCUGAGGCUCCUCGGCGACCAAUGA